rnacentral:lncRNA from 1 species
CCCGCCUACACAUGCGCUUAGCCAAUCAGAGUAAGCGCAGCACUUCCACCUUCACGGCGAGCUGGUCAGUCUUGUGUAAAUAAACCCUGCCCACACGCGAGCCGCGUCCACUUUCACAGCGAGAUUUCGGCGUUAAAAACGUUUCUCAAGUAAGUUUUGUGUUUUGGCAACUUUGUCUUAUCCUCAAGAAACGAACGAGCUGUCUGGUAAAGGCGUUGCAUUGGUAAUGGCUGCAGAAAGCGAGCACGAUGAUCCAUUCCAACAAAUUCUGCAUCAAAUCGGUGGGAAAAGUAACAUUCAUUUAAUCAGUGCUGUGACUGGACCUGAUGGAGACACCCGGGGAUUACAGGACUUUAUCGCUGAUAUGUUUAAUAACGCGGAGCACGAAGAAACCACUGGCAACAGUAACGGCGCAAUCACAAUCCAAACUAAUGUGUCACGCACUGAUCGAUCAGAACAGAGUUCACCCGAUCACUGCAGCAAGAGCCAGAAACCAGAUCCACCCAAGAACAUCGGCGCAAAGCAGAGAGCCAUUAAGUGCUCCGUGAUCAUAUUCAUCUUCAAACACGAUUAUGUGUGUAAUAAAGAGAAUCACGUGUGUUUGAGGGAGAUUCUGAAGGACGUGCGAGCUCGCGUAAAGAGAAACGCGCUCCGCCCGGCGCUGCUGGGACUCGUUCACACUGACCGUGAUCAAUCGGAGUGUCGCGAUUCAGUGGGAUUGCUGGAUCGAUCACUGCGAUCAGUGUUCACUAAUCACCCCUCACAGGCCAUAUGGACCGGCUGUUACGUCACAAAGUCCCCGGAUUUGUUGCAGGCGAUCAGAUGGCACGCCUGCAUGGCUGUGAAGUCUUCAGUGUCUGCAGAUAGCGCCGUUGGCAGUAAAAGCAGUCUGUUUUGGCCAGUGAAAUGUUUCCCGGGAAUUUUCAGGAAGAGACACAGAGGACAGGCUGAUGUAAACACCAAGAGUUGGCAGCAAGCCAAUCCACAUGCAACUGUGGAAGGAAUUCCACUGCAGAUGCGGCACACAACAGACUGACGCCAGACCGGCUUUGCUAAUAGACCAAAAUGGAUGAAGAACAAGCCUCAAACUGUGUGCCUGUGUGCUACACAGGUCAUAUACUCUUGCACUAUGACUUACCAGUCAGGAAGAUUUGGAGAAAUGAGAAAUGAAGGCGAUGAAAGGCUGCUAGAGCAUUAUUCAUGAUGCAUCUUUAAUAGCUCAGAAGGAUAUAUCACUACUAUAACAGUAGCAUACAGAGUUUAUUAGUAUUAAAUAAUCUAAUGUGACAAUUGCUGAACACUGUGAUUGACUAAUGUAUCAAUUGUUUUUUUUUUUAAAUAAAAGAAACAGAUUGUUGCAUUUACUAAUAAUUGUUGUAUUUUGUACUUCAAGCACGAUU